rnacentral:hammerhead_ribozyme from 1 species
AUCCAGCUGAUGAGUUCCAAAUAGGACGGAAUGCACGUCUUAGAU